rnacentral:rRNA from 2 species
CAAGGCGACGAUCCCUAGCUGGUCUGAGAGGAUGACCAGCCACACUGGAACUGAGACACGGUCCAGACUCCUACGGGAGGCAGCAGUGGGGAAUAUUGCACAAUGGGCGCAAGCCUGAUGCAGCCAUGCCGCGUGUAUGAAGAAGGCCUUCGGGUUGUAAAGUACUUUCAGCGGGGAGGAAGGUGUUGUGGUUAAUAACCGCAGCAAUUGACGUUACCCGCAGAAGAAGCACCGGCUAACUCCGUGCCAGCAGCCGCGGUAAUACGGAGGGUGCAAGCGUUAAUCGGAAUUACUGGGCGUAAAGCGCACGCAGGCGGUCUGUCAAGUCGGAUGUGAAAUCCCCGGGCUCAACCUGGGAACUGCAUUCGAAACUGGCAGGCUUGAGUCUUGUAGAGGGGGGUAGAAUU